GAUUACCACCAACAGACGCUUAAGCGAACACACAUUGAUUAUCCUACGGUUCUAUAGUUUGGAAAAUGGUCCUGAUAAAGUAAUAGUGACUAUCUAAGGCCUGAAGGAAGGUUUGUGAGUAUUUUUUCCCAUCUGGUUUUUAGAUCUGUUGGAUUUUCUUCUGGGUGUGUCAAAAUUAGAUUUGUUUAGUAAUAGAAAUUUGAACUUGGCAGUUUAUAGAAAAUCAGGAUAGUUCUCCUCUGUGAAGGUCAUUUUCUAGC
rnacentral:lncRNA from 1 species